rnacentral:rRNA from 1 species
GUAGGGAAUAUUGGGCAAUGGUCGGAAGACUGACCCAGCCAUGCCGCGUGCAGGAAGACGGCCCUCUGGGUUGUAAACUGCUUUUAUCUGGGAAGAAAAAGGCCAUGCGUGGCAAAUUGCCGGUACCAGAUGAAUAAGCACCGGCUAACUCCGUGCCAGCAGCCGCGGUAAUACGGAGGGUGCGAGCGUUGUCCGGAUUUAUUGGGUUUAAAGGGUGCGUAGGCGGCUGAUUAAGUCAGCGGUGAAAGACUUCGGCUUAACCGGAGCAGAGCCGUUGAUACUGGUUGGCUUGAGUGUCGGAGGGGUACAUGGAAUUGAUGGUGUAGCGGUGAAAUGCAUAGAUACCAUCAGGAACACCGAUAGCGAAGGCAUUGUACUGGCCGACAACUGACGCUGAUGCACGAAAGUGUGGGGAUCGAACAGGAUUAGAAACCCGUGUAGUCC